CUCAGGACGAACGCUGGCGGCGUGCUUAACACAUGCAAGUCGAACGGAGAUUCAGCAAUGGAUCUUAGUGGCGAACGGGUGAGUAACGCGUAGGCAAUCUGCCUCUAGAUGGGGACAACAUCCCGAAAGGGGUGCUAAUACCGAAUGUUGUAACGACUUCGCAUGAAGUUGCUACUAAAGGUGGCCUCUGAAUAUGCUACCGCUAGAAGAUGAGCCUGCGUCUGAUUAGCUAGUUGGAGGGUAACGGCCCACCAAGGCUUCGAUCAGUAGCCGGUCUGAGAGGAUGAACGGCCACACUGGGACUGAGACACGGCCCAGACUCCUACGGGAGGCAGCAGUGGGGAAUCUUCCGCAAUGGACGAAAGUCUGACGGAGCAACGCCGCGUGAAGUGAAGAAGGUUUUCGGAUCGUAAAGCUCUUUCGUUAGGGACGAACGUGCUCUUUGUGAAUAAUGAGGAGUAAUGACGGUACCUAAAUAAGAAGCCACGGCUAACUACGUGCCAGCCGCAGC
rnacentral:rRNA from 1 species